rnacentral:rRNA from 1 species
GACGAACGCUGGCGGCGUGCUUAACACAUGCAAGUCGAACGGAAAGGCCCUGCUUUUGUGGGGUGCUCGAGUGGCGAACGGGUGAGAAACACGUGAGUAACCUGCCCUUGACUUUGGGAUAACUUCAGGGAACUGGGGCUAAUACCGGAUAGGAGCUCCUGCUGCAUGGUGGGGGUUGGAAAGUUUCGGCGGUUGGGGAUGGACUCGCGGCUUAUCAGCUUGUUGGUGGGGUAGUGGCUUACCAAGGCUUUGACGGGUAGCCGGCCUGAGAGGGUGACCGGCCACAUUGGGACUGAGAUACGGCCCAGACUCCUACGGGAGGCAGCAGUGGGGAAUAUUGCACAAUGGGCGGAAGCCUGAUGCAGCAACGCCGCGUGCGGGAUGACGGCCUUCGGGUUGUAAACCGCUUUCGCCUGUGACGAAGCGUGAGUGACGGUAAUGGGUAAAGAAGCACCGGCUAACUACGUG